rnacentral:rRNA from 1 species
GUGAGGAAUUUUGCGCAAUGGGGGCAACCCUGACGCAGCGACGCCGCGUGGAGGACGAAGUCUUUCGGGAUGUAAACUCCUGUCAGUGGGGACGAUAAUGACGGUACCCACAGAGGAAGCACCGACUAACUCCGUGCCAGCAGCCGCGGUAAGACGGAGGGUGCAAGCGUUGUUCGGAAUUACUGGGCGUAAAGCGUAUGUAGGCGGCAAGUUAAGUUCAAUGUUAAAGCCCACGGCUCAACCGAGGAGAUGCAUUGAAUACUGGCUAGCUAGAGGGUGUUAGAGGAAGACGGAAUUCCCAGUGUAGCGGUGAAAUGCGUAGAUAUUGGGAGGAACAUCGGUAGCGAAAGCGGUCUUCUGGGACAUACCUGACGCUGAGGUACGAAAGCGUGGGGAGCAAACGGGAUUAGAUACCCGGGUAGUCC